rnacentral:tRNA from 2 species
CGGAGUGUAGCUUAAAAUAAAGCGACUGCUUUACACCCAGGAGAUUCUACCAUUAUGGACACUUCGA